GCAGAGGGUCGGUCUGUCGCGCCCUAGUUCGUAUGGACUAGCGGUGAGGAACGUCCGGGCAACGCAGAGCACCAUACUUCCUAACGGGAAGCUAUCCGUGAGGGUAGAGUAGUGUAACAGAGAACGACAGCCUCUUGUGAUGGAGGUGAUGGUGAAAAGGUGGGGUAAGAGCCCACCGGGCAUUGUGGCGACACAGUGUGCCGUACACCUUAUGGGUUGCAAGAUCAUGUAAACCGACGCUACGAGGGUUGCUCGCCCCAUGUCGGAGGGUAGAUUGCUAGAGCUGUGCAGCGAUGCACAGUCGAGAUAAAUGACAGACGCUACAGCCUAGCUUGUAGUACAGAACCCGGCUUAUAGACCCUCUGCCUGU
rfam:Porphyromonas sp. COT-290_OH860 contig_75, whole genome shotgun sequence.